AGUGAACGCUGGCGGUAGGCCUAACACAUGCAAGUCGAACGGCAGCACAGUAAGAGCUUGCUCUUACGGGUGGCGAGUGGCGGACGGGUGAGGAAUACAUCGGAAUCUACAUUUUCGGGGGGGAUAACGUAGGGAGACUUACGCUAAUACAGCAUACGACCUACGGUUGAAAGCAGGGGAUCGUCUCAGCUGGCGGGUUUGAAUGAGCGGAUGGCGAAUUAGCUCGUUGGCGGGGUAGAGGCCCAGCAAGGCGAGGAUGGGUAGCCGGUCUGGGAGGGUGACAGGGCACAGUGGGCUUGGGAAACGGCCCAGACGCCUUCGUGAGGCAGCAGUGGGAGAUAUUGCACGAUGGGCCGAAGGCGGAUGCAGCGACGCCGCGUGCGAGAGGACGGCUGUCGGGUUGGAAACCGCUUUCGCCUGUGACGAAGCGUGAGUGACGGUAAUGGGGAAAGAGGCACCGGCAAACUACGU
rnacentral:rRNA from 1 species